AUACGUAGGUGACAAGCGUUAUCCGGAUUUACUGGGCGUAAAGGGCGUGUAGGCGGUCUUGCAAGUCAGAAGUGAAAUUCCUGAGCUCAACUCGGGCGCUGCUUCUGAAACUGCAGGACUUGAGUGCUGGAGGGGAUAGCGGAAUUCCUAGUGGAGCGGUAAAAUGCGCAGAUAUUAGGAAGAACACCGGUGGCGAAGGCGGCUAUCUGGACAGUAACUGACGCGGAGGCGCGAAAGCGUGGGGAGCAAACAGGAUUAUAUACCCUGGUAGUCCACGCCGUAAACGAUGAAGACUAGGUGUAGGGGGUAUCGACUCCCUCUGUGCCGCAGUUAACACAAUAAGUAUUCCGCCUGGGGAGUACGGCCGCAAGGUUGAAACUCAAAGGAAUUGACGGGG
rnacentral:rRNA from 1 species